rnacentral:rRNA from 1 species
AAUUAAAUAUAAUAGUCUAAUGAGUUAUGUAAAUAACUUAUACUGAUUCAAAACAUUUUUAAACCUAGUAAAAGUGAUAGAAAAUUAUUAAAUAAGACCUAAAAAAAGUACCGUAAGGGAAUUAAUUUAAUUAGAAAAUAAAAAAGCUUAACGUUUGUACCUUUUGCAUCAUGGUUUAGCUAGAUAUGUAUUUCUUCUUAAAUUUCUCGAAAUCUAAUGAGUUAUUUUUAUUCAGUAUCUUAGUACAAAAAGAGUAGUUGUAGCAGAAACUUUCUUAGAAAUAAAAAUGGAAAUGAAAUUUUAUCCGUAUUAGAUGAUAGCUAGUUUUUCUGUAAAGGUAUAUAAGUACUUUAAAUUAAUUUAAUUUUUAUAAAUUAUUAUAUAGAAAGAAUUUAAUUUAAUCAAAUUUUCGAGGAUAAGCUCGAAAAUUUAAAAAUACAUUUGUAUUAUAUUUUUAUUAAAAUUUAGGCUUGAAAAUAGCUAUAAUUUUGAGUUUGUUAUAAUUUAUUAGCCAAUUAAAAAAAUAAUUGAUUUACUUGCAAUUAUAGAAAAAAAUUUAAUAAUUAGAUUAAAUUGUAUUAAUGCUAAAAUGAGUAUUAAAAUAUUUAAUAUUUCUUUAACAAUUUAUUAGUUAAAAUUUAUAUUUAUUUGUAAUAUAAAAAUUAUAAAAAGGAACUCGGCAAACACUCAUUCUGCCUGUUUAGCAAAAACAUGGCUCCCUGGAUUAUUAAUUAUAGGGAGUCGGACCUGCCCAGUGAAUUUUUCAACGGCCGCGGUACUCUGACCGUGCAAAGGUAGCAUAAUCAUUUGCCUUAUAAUUGAAGGCUAGUAUGAAUGGUUUGACAAGAAUGAAGCUGUCUCUUUAUAAUUUAAUAGAAUUUUAUCUUCAGGUGAAGAAGCUUGAAUAAAAUUAAAAGACAAGAAGACCCUAUCGAGCUUAAAAAAAAUUAAUAGAAUUUAAUUAAUUAAUAUUUAUAAAAAAUUGUCUAUUAAAUAUUUUAGUUGGGGCGACUGAGGAACAUAAAAAGCUUCCUUUAAACAUAUUAACUAAAAUCGAACUAGAAAUGAUCCAAAACAAUUUUGAUUAAAGAAAUUAGUUACCGUAGGGAUAACAGCAUUAUCUUUUUUAAGAGCUCAUAUCGAAAAAAAGGUUUGUGACCUCGAUGUUGGACCAGAAUAUCCUAAAGGUGCAGCAGUCUUUAAGGGUUGGUCUGUUCGACCAUUAAAAUUCUACGUGAUCUGAGUUCAGACCGGCGUGAGCCAGGUCAGUUUCUAUCUUUAAUUAAUUUGAUAAAUUUAGUACGAAAGGACCAGUUUAUCAUAAAAUUAUAUUUUUAUUGAUUAAAUCUAAUUAAAAAUUAAGUAUCAAAUUAGCAAAAAUUUAAUGCAAUUGACUUAGGAUCAAUAGAUAUAGGUGAAAUUCCUUUAUUUGAUAAUCAACCAUAAAGAUGGCAGAUGAA